rnacentral:rRNA from 1 species
CGGAGUGGCGGCAUGCCUAUACAUGCAGUCGAACGAACCAUCCUGAUGAUUGAAGCUUGCUUCAUGAUUCAGAUUUUGGUGAGUGGCGGACGGGUGAGUAACACGUGGGUAACCUGCCCAGAAGUGGGGGAUAACAUUUGGAAACAAGUGCUAAUACCGCAUAACAACUUAGAUCACAUGAUCUUUGUUUAAAAGAUGGUUUUGCUAUCUCUUCUGGAUGGACCCGCGGCGUAUUAGCUAGUUGGUGAGGUAAUAGCUCACCAAGGCGAUGAUACGUAGCCGACCUGAGAGGGUAAUCGGCCACAUUGGGACUGAGACACGGCCCAAACUCCUACGGGAGGCAGCAGUAGGGAAUCUUCCACAAUGGACGAAAGUCUGAUGGAGCAAUGCCGCGUGAGUGAAGAAGGUUUUCGGAUCGUAAAACUCUGUUGUUGAAGAAGAACAUACGUGAGAGUAACUGUUCACGUACUGACGGUAUUCAACCAGAAAGCCACGGCUAACUACGUGCCAGCAGCCGCGGUAAUACGUAGGUGGCAAGCGUUGUCCGGAUUUAUUGGGCGUAAAGAGAAUGUAGGCGGUUUAUUAAGUUUGAAGUGAAAGCCCUCGGCUCAACCGAGGAAGUGCUUCGAAAACUGGUAAACUUGAGUGCAGAAGAGGAAAGUGGAACUCCAUGUGUAGCGGUGGAAUGCGUAGAUAUAUGGAAGAACACCAGUGGCGAAGGCGGCUUUCUGGUCUGUAACUGACGCUGAGAUUCGAAAGCAUGGGUAGCAAACAGGAUUAGAUACCCUGGUAGUCCAUGCCGUAAACGAUGAGUGCUAAGUGUUUGGAGGGUUUCCGCCCUUCAGUGCUGCAGCUAACGCAUUAAGCACUCCGCCUGGGGGAGUACGAUCGCAAGAUUGAAACUCAAAGGAAUUGACGGGGGCCCGCACAAGCGGUGGAGCAUGUGGUUUAAUUCGAAGCAACGCGAAGAACCUUACCAGGUCUUGACAUACCAUGAAAAGCUUAGAGAUAAGUCUUUCCCUUCGGGGACAUGGAUACAGGUGGUGCAUGGUUGUCGUCAGCUCGUGUCGUGAGAUGUUGGGUUAAGUCCCGCAACGAGCGCAACCCUUAUUAUCAGUUGCCAGCAUUCAGUUGGGCACUCUGGUGAAACUGCCGGUGAUAAACCGGAGGAAGGUUGGGGACGACGUCAAAUCUCAUGCCCCUUAUGACUGGGCUACCACGUGCUACAAUGGUCGGUACACGUGCUGCGAACUCCGGAGGGCAAGCAAAUCACUUAAAACCGAUCUCAGUUCGGAUUGUAGGCUGCAACUCGCCUACAUGAAGCUGGAAUCGCUAGUAAUCGCGGAUCAGCAUGCCGCGGUGAAUACGUUCCCGGGCCUUGUACACACCGCCCGUCACACCAUGAGAGUUUGUAACACCCAAAGUCGGUGGGGUAACCCUUCCGGGAAACCCCCCUAAGGGGGGAAAAGUAAUCGGGAAUCUCACAGGUUCCGAACAAACGGGCGGGGUCAGCCUUAGCUUACCUUUACCGAAAUUCUAAGUAAAGGCUAAGUCAAUGUCAAAUGAAAUAUUAACUUAUCAAA